CGUUUCAAUGUGUGACGACGCGAUACGGUCGCCUGUUCAAGAAAAUCACAGCGGCUCCAUUGGAAAUCGACAGGUUUCCACAAUGUACCGCCAGAGAGAAAAGAACGUUAAGAGAUGUGAAAGUGUCUCUGCGAACGAAGAGUACCAUUAACGUUACGCGAUUGCGAUUUCAUUAGGUUUGACUUUCGAGUAAUCGACAUUUCACGAAAUUAACCCCGGCGAAUCGUAAAUUAUCUUCGAGGCUUCCGGCAGUGCCUCUUCUCACCUGCCAACUAAACUUGACAAGAAAUUUUUUUACCGACCAUAGAAACAUACAUAACACUUACUCAGUCUUCAGUAAACUUUAUAAAAUCGAAUCGGCCACUUUAACGAUCUAUUAAUUUAUCCAGAUUUCUAUGACAGUUAUCCCUUCGCACAUUAACGAAAAACGUUCGAAUUCCGUAUUACAAAAUUGCAUCUUACUCCACUGCCAUCUAGCUGUCGCAACAGGCAUCAAACGUCAGCAUCGAUAGACUCGUGAACUGCUCUGGUAUGUUUAUUCACUCUACAAAAAUCCCUAGGAGUUCUAAAUAGAAAACAAUGAAGUUUUUAAUCUCUAGUCUUAGGAAAGCUAGCAGUGUAAAUACAAGAUGGGCGUAUCUGGAGCGCAUCGCGUGUAUAUUGGCGUGACUAUCCUUCGGAUGCCAAUCACACUCGGUGUUAGUAAGCGAAGUAACGGGAUCAGACUAUGCCAGAUAUAUAGAACCAGAGCCCAACCCAGCGACACACCGGGCCCACCUAUAGAUACAAUACGCAGCCUGGAGGUCAUUCGAGAACAAGGUCGAGAUACGUCUCUGUGAUACACGUAGUGGUCCACCCACAUGAACAAAAACCUCCUGAGACCUUAACAGAUAAAUUUUGGUCUCCCUAUUACUUUUCCGGAAACACCACAGGAAAUUGUUGAAAAUGGUAUGUUAAUGCAUUGAUGAAAUAUAAAUGGUCAAAAUCUUGUCUGUCUACGUUACUAAUUUACACUGAACGGGAAUCGCUUGAAGUUGUGCAACAGUACAAUUGGCAUUUGUAAUAUAAAAUAUUGCUUAUACCACUGGCUGCAGAUUGUACAAUCUGGUAGUGCCAAAUCAGCAGUUGGCAUAGUGUACAGUUAGACUUUUACAUCUUGACAGAUGUCAAAUUGAUUUUAUGUAACACCAAAUAAAUACAUAAUCAAAUGAAGAUACGAAUACGCGUACCAAGGAUCGCGAUACCACACGCUUAUAUGUAUAUGGCUUGGACAAUAUGCAGGCCACUUUCACCAUAAAGCGAGAUUGCUGCAAGAGACAGUAUCAUCGAGAUCAGCGUCCUGAAAGACACGUAGAUCCCAAGAAGAUGUACUCUGGGCUGGCGACCGAUGAGUUCUCAAGAAUCGUCAAGAGUCCUGGAGGUGCUAGAGCGAGCAAUGCCCGACCACUCGCAUACCCGGUUAGAUGAGUACUCUGAUUGUCCGCUAACUUCACGAAACGACAGGCAAUUUCUCUCGCGAGCGACCCAGCCGUACGGGGGGAUUGUCGUGCGACGAAGUAGCGAGGCACCAGUCUCCUGCAUGUGGCUGCACUUUCACGUCUUACCGGUUACCAGCGUAAAAUUGCCCCUGCAUCCACGUGACCGAUGCCCUUAGACAAUGCGGAUGGAUAAAAAGCUCAUUUUUGAUUGACAAAAAAGACAUAAAAUCGACACGGUAUUUAAUUAUGCAAAAUCAUUUAGUUCUGCAGGUUAUCUCAUAACUGCGGUGCAGGGUUAAUCGAGAACAAUGGUACAGGGAGAUCAAUGGGAUGGAUAAGAGCGAUUUGUCGCGCCGUUUGCCGUGUAGUGUGCAAUUACGCGAAAUUGGUAUAAACGAUUAUUCCUGGAGCAGCGCGAUGAGCGCGUUCAGUUUGAAUUCAACUAAAGCGAUGCUACCACCGAGUAUCUUUGUUACCUGAUAUACAUAAGGAAUAUCGUGACAUUGGUACAGUGACGUAUUUCAAACCGGUCGCUGGUUGACCGCACAUGUGUAUCACAGUGAAUAUAUAUUUGAAAGGACCAAGCAGAGACUGUAAUCUAGAUCCAGAAGAAUUUAUUAACCUUGAAAGGAUAGAAUGUGAAGGUAACUUAAGCCAAUUAAAAACUCACCUGCACCGUUCACUUCUGCUCCCAAUGAUCAGCAAACGGUCCCUGGACGUAGACGUUCACCCAGACUCCGUCCGGUUACUCUACCUCAUCUCCUUUGCCGAAGAGACGCCGAGGAAGAUUCUUUUGCUGUCUUAACGGAGAAACAACAACACAAAUAAGUGUCAAAACCGAAGGACGCUCGAAUGUGAAUUAUUGGUACGUGCAAACCGCGCGAGCGUCGACCAGCGAUUAGCGACCUGGUGAAUGUGCGCCUGAAGAGUGGCCUGGUAGAGCUCCCACUGGCCAAAACACCGUUGACACCGGUCCUCAAUGGAUGUGGGUCGUUCGUUGUGAACGCGGGUCGCUCGUUGUGAACGCGGGUCGCUCGAGCGAAAAUCCUGACAUUAAGAGUUUGGAUUGUCCGUGAGUCUAUUCUCAAUUCGUAACCGGGAAGACGAUAUCCCUUUAGCCAUUCCCAACAAAAUCUAUUCGCUAUGGUUUAGUGCAGAGUAGCAGGAUUUAUUUUAUAGAGCGCAUAAUAUCCUGACCUUAUAUAGAAAAAAGAUAAACAUAGAUUCUGUGUAACAUUUUUAAAACGUUAUAACGGAUGCUGUUUAAUUUACUAAUUUUCGCCCAAGGACAAAUGUUUCCUAUAUGCUUUCUUAGCUCGUUAACAUAAUUCAUGGAAUAAUUAAAAGCACGACACUCGUUAAGAUUUCUUAUCCGACAGUCCAAAUUCUUAGAUUACAAAUAAGAAAGUAGCCUGCACAUAAAGCUUCUGAGCAAAAUUAAAUUGCCUGGUGUAUUUACACUUUUUCAAUUAUUCUCAACGCACAUCGCUAUCAUUUCUGAAGCAAUUAUACGGUCUCACGCAUUUAGACUCCUUAUUAUAGCUGUGUGUGCUCUGGCAGACCUCUUCAAGCAAAUUAGCCUAAACUAAAGUACACUUAACCUCUUCGUGGUAACACGCUCUGACAUUUACAAGUAGAAGUAAUUGUGUACACGUUAUUUCAUAUGUCUUAUUGGUUUACCAGAAACGUUUACGAUUUUUCUUCUCAUUAGAAGCUCGGAUGACUUAUAUGGUUAACAUCGACUUAACUGACUGCCGAUAAGUAGGAGUUCUUUACUUUUAAAACUGAGCAAACUUCAGUAUCAAUAAUAGCAUUUCAGAAUCCGUGACAUUGUUUCUGUAUCGAUUCAAAGAAAAUUUCUAGCCAAAGGACAUAACCUUUUGAGAAGCAUAAAGAAACCGUCGCGUAAUCGGAAUUCCAAAGGAUGUAUAGGUCAGUAGUCGAAGAAACGUCUGUAGUUAAUUAACCGAAGAGAUACUGUCGACGCAGUCUAAGUAACGGUCCAGAGUAGAAUAGUUGAAGCGUCUAACGAUUACGUCAAGAAGUAACAGCGUCGUUCUAACGGUUAAACGGCGACGCUUGGCGUCACUCGAAUAAGGCGCUUGAGACGCUAUACGCUUACAUGGAAUAGAUACAUAUUGCUACUGCUGGAUGAUGAUGAUGGUUAAUCAAGGAUACAUUAAAAUUUCCAUCAAUCAUCUGAAGAUACAUAAUUCCGUUUGACAGAUAAACACAGCAGUAAGAAACAUGGCCGCCGUUGUAAAUAUACUCUAAAAGGUUACACACAGUUUCUUUUUUUAGACUUACUCGUAUACUUUAUUUCAUAUGGACAAUUAAACGAUACAUAUACAUGUGUGUACGAAUUACGUGUCUUCUUAUCAAUAAAUUCUAAUACAUCUCGA